rnacentral:rRNA from 1 species
UACGGGGGGGGGCAAGCGUUGUUCGGAAUUACUGGGCGUAAAGGGCGCGUAGGCGGCCCGCUAAGUCGAACGUGAAAUCCCCGGGCUCAACCCGGGAACUGCGUCCGAUACUGGCAGGCUUGAAUCCGGGAGAGGGAUGUGGAAUUCCAGGUGUAGCGGUGAAAUGCGUAGAUAUCUGGAGGAACACCGGUGGCGAAGGCGGCAUCCUGGACCGGCAUUGACGCUGAGGCGCGAAAGCUGGGGGAGCAAACGGG